rnacentral:tRNA from 1 species
CAAAAGGUAGUUUAGUAAAAAUUCCGGUUUUGGGGACCGGGGAUGAAGGCUUGGAUCCUUCUUUUUUGA